UCCCAAAAGAUGGGCUGACUUCUCAUUUUAGAGAUGAAGACAGAGAGGCCCAGAGAGGGGAAGAGAUUCAUCCAAGGCAAAGCCAGGCAGAGCCAGUUGCCACGGUUACUCUCUUUAAUGGAUGAGGAAGUUGAGGCACAAAUUGGGCUAGGAGACUUGCUGAAGGUCCCAUGGGCAGUAAAUGACAAAGCUAGGGUGGGAGUGAUCCUAAGAUGCUGCUCCCACCGACAACUGUGAACCAAUAUGAGGGCCCCAUCUCCCUCCCAGGGGCCUUGCUAGCCCAGGGCUACAGACUCUUCCCAGCCACCCCUGCCCUGGAGAGUUAGGCCCGACCGACCACACCAGCUCGGGGAACAUAACAAAGGCCACGCGGAGGACAGAGUGGCCUGGCAGCGCCUCUGUGGACAUGCGACGCAGACAUCACAAGAUGAUUUAUGUAACCUCUUACAUAAUGGCAGCAUUUCUAUCAAAGACCAUAUGGUGCUAUCGUGAUACAGUGCUAUAUGAUAGCGUGCCACAAGUCGGUGCUACUUAUAUUUGGCAAAUGAUUUGGUUUUUCCUAGUAUAAAUCUGAGCAGAUUCAACAUCAUAAAAUCAGGGGUGAGAGGCAGCAGUGAUGGCUACAGCCAUACCUUGAGUCAAGGCACUGAGACGGAGAGUGUUAGGCAUUUUGGAGAGCGGAGACAGUGAGAAGCUCAGUGCAGCGGCGAAGAGAGUUCGCUGCAGGGAGUGAGGAAAGGGGCAUUUGCAUCAUCAGCAAAAGGGCCAUUUUCACCUGCCUCAGCAUUCCAUUCCCGUGCUCCGGGUCCUUCCUGAGGCAAAUCCUCAGCCGCUGUUGCACGGGGUGAAGAAGCCAGAUCCUCAGAAUGUCAGGGCUGGGCAGGACCUCAGAGCUCAGCCAACCAACCUUUGAUUUUCAGGGGAGGACCCCGAAAGCCCAAAGUACAAACAGACAAUGGCCUGCCUGUGUAGGAAAAGAGAACCUUGGCCCACAAUUUCUGCAGCAAGCAGCACAUGAAGCCAAACCAAACCUCUGUGGCAAUGGGCCCAGAAUGGUCAGGGCUCUGUCAAUCCUGGUCAGCUUCCCUAUUGUUGACUACUGCUUCCAACUCAACACCCAUGAAAGAAAGCCAAAUAUGCUCCUAAUGCAAUCACAUAAGAUGUC
rnacentral:lncRNA from 1 species